rnacentral:rRNA from 1 species
UACGGGGGGGGCAAGCGUUGUUCGGAAUUACUGGGCGUAAAGGGCUCGUAGGUGGCCAACUAAGUCAGACGUGAAAUCCCUCGGCUUAACCGGGGAACUGCGUCUGAUACUGGAUGGCUUGAGUUUGGGAGAGGGACGCGGAAUUCCAGGUGUAGCGGUGAAAUGCGUAGAUAUCAGGAGGAACACCGGUGGCGAAGGCGGAUCUCUGGGCCAUUACUGACGCUGAGGAGCGAAAGCGUGGGGAGCGAACAGG